CUCCGCCUCCGCGGCUAGUGAGGCACAACCAAAAUGGAGGACCCCAUAUGCCUGAACGUCCAGGGAAAACGUGAUAACAUGGUCCCAGUGCGUGUUCCCCAUAAGCUCAAAAUCCAGAAGUUUGAAGAUCCUGAUUUCUAAUCUUGGGUUGUGACUUCAGCAGUGCUGCCACAAGGAUAUAGCUAUCGACCCCGUGUUGCAUCUGCCACAACAGUGGGACUCUUGUAUCCGUGAUGUGUUUCAAUGGCAUUGCAUGGCCAUGUGUAUCAUGGCUGAACGUAUCUCCAGGUAAGCUUCUACACAAAGAAAC